rnacentral:rRNA from 1 species
UUUCCAGAGAUGGAUUGGUGCCUUCGGGAACUCUGAGACAGGUGCUGCAUGGCUGUCGUCAGCUCGUGUUGUGAAAUGUUGGGUUAAGUCCCGCAACGAGCGCAACCCUUAUCCUUUGUUGCCAGCGGUCCGGCCGGGAACUCAAAGGAGACUGCCAGUGAUAAACUGGAGGAAGGUGGGGAUGACGUCAAGUCAUCAUGGCCCUUACGAGUAGGGCUACACACGUGCUACAAUGGCGCAUACAAAGAGAAGCGAACUCGCGAGAGCAAGCGGACCUCAUAAAGUGCGUCGUAGUCCGGAUUGGAGUCUGCAACUCGACUCCAUGAAGUCGGAAUCGCUAGUAAUCGUAGAUCAGAAUGCUACGGUGAAUACGUUCCCGGGUCUUGUACACACCGAG